ACAAAAGAUGUUGUACGCGUCUACAAAAGCAACAUUUAAGAAAGAAUUUGGUCAGGGACAAAUAAAAGACGAAUACUUCGCUACCUCAAAGGAUGAGAUAACCUUGUCCGGGUACCGGCGGCAUCUAGCGGCAGAUGCCGGACCUGGUCCUCUCUCUAAAGAGGAGGAGGAGAUGAAGGAAAUUAAAGAAUCAGAAACAAGGGUUGAUAUAGGAGUGGAUACUAAACAACAAACUCUUGGCUCCAUGGCAUUUCCUAUGGAGCGGAGUGUGCUCCAAUCUUUAGAGGAGUUCUUAAAGAAGGGUCACGAUUAUAUUCAAUUAUCUAUAGAUCUGAAAAACGAAUCAAUUUUGUUAAAGAAGAAAGGAAUGUUUACAAUUGAAGAGCUUCCUAGUCUAGUUCCUGAGGAUGAGGCAAGAUAUCAUUUAUUUAGAUACAAGCAUACUUUCCAGGGUGAAGCAACUUCUAGUGUAGUGUUUAUCUACUCUAUGCCUGGAUACAGUGUAUCUAUAAAGGAAAGAAUGCUCUACUCUAGUUGUAAAAACUCGGUGGUUGAGAUCAUUGAGAAACAUUACAAUAUAGACAUAGCUAAGAAGAUGGAGAUAGAAAGUGGAUCAGAACUAACCGAACAGUUUAUUAUGAGUGAGAUCCAUCCUGUGGAGAUAAGUUCUAAACCUAAAUUCUCUAAACCUGCUCCUCCUAGUAGAGGGAACAAAAGAAUCACCAAGGCUCCUCCAUCCUAGGUUUAUUCAACCUAAACUCUACAAUGAGACCUAUAAAACUGUGGAAUAUGAAGACGACUGAUAAAAUUAAAUUAUGGUUUUAAAUAGUCCCAAAGAAUAUGAAACACAGCAAUUAAGCAGUUUGCUACUUACCUGAGGGUUCAGUGAGAAAACAAUCCUUUUGGUUGAACAUAAAAAUUUUAAAUUUAUAAUUUCAUAAUUUAAAAUCGCCGAUGACAUUGCUCAAACACAGGCUCUUAAGGUGAUAAGAAAAGAAUAAAAGAGCAAUUUUAAUAAAAAAUAUCCUAAAUUUUAAAAACUUGAAAAAUGUUUCAUUUUCUUUUAAAAAAUACUUUUUUUAAAUGAACCAUGAUAUAUGUUCCAGUGUAAACUGAAGGGUCUCAAUUUAUCAAUAAGACCAAAUUUAAAAGCAACAUACUUUUUGUGAUUGACUUGUUAAAUGUUAGUAAUAGUAUUUAUUUUAUUUAUUUUCAUGGUUUAUCUGAUCACGUUGAUUACUGCUGAUGAUCAUUUGAUCAAACAUGAUCACACCUAAUCACUUAUAAUCGCACCCGAUCACCUUCCAUAUGUAAAUGUAAUGACAAUUAAAUAUACAAUGUGUGAUAACAAGCUUUGAUAGAUUUCUGCUUGAAAAAGAUUUCAUAAUUUUAUGUUUAACGGCAUUAUUAUUUUUCAAAAUGGCAGAAUUUAUUUGAUAAAUUUGUGCUUCAUUAGUUUUUAAUAAUUUUGAAAUUCUAUUUUUUAAAUAUUUGUUCGACUCAAGUAAUCGAUUAAUUACUUUAACGACCUGUCAACUAUUUGAAUAUAUGUUGCUCAUUCAUCAAAAUAAAGAUACAUAACCUUGCAAAA
rnacentral:misc_RNA from 1 species